ACUGAUCUCCUUCUGCCAUACACAUCUGUGAGGAGCCUGCCUCCAUCUUCUCAAUGCUCUCUGGGUGGGUUACACUGCUGCAGUUCCUGCUGGCCCAUUUCUCCAGCCUGCCAUAGGCCUGGAUCCCUUCCCUCCAGUGCCCCUGGUUUGGGUUAAUCUGUGGACUUUCUCAGUGUGGCCAGUGGCCAGGCUGUAGCCAGGAGCCUGGGGCCCUCCUGCUCUUUGUUUUUCCCUUCUUACAGCUCUGCACCCUCAAGAAAUCCCCAGCAGAAACUCCAGAGCCCACAGGACCAACCUCAUCCCACCUCAGCAACACCACUGCUGCUGCUUGCAUCCCUGACUCCAGGUUAUUCCUGCCAUGUCGCUUACAGCUCCAAGGCCACUAUGGGGCUGGAGUAGCUUUUCCUUGGCAUGCAAGUGAAACAGAGAUGAGCAUAGCUCUGAAACCUCUCCAGAGCAAGAAAUCUCCAAGCCAGGUCGAGGCCCCUGCUCAGCCCACCACUCUUUGGCCAAGUGAGCUGCUGGGGAAGCACGAAGCUGAACUGCAAGGCAAAGAAGAAAAGUCCCAGGGGAACGUCACCAGUGUAGUCAUCUCCACACAUGCAAAGGUCCCUUCUGCCUGGUUUUUUUUUUCCCCUUUGAAAUUUCAAAUUCCAGUUUGUGGACAAAGUCCUGCCUAUCUGAGAAUAUAGAUCUCCGACCACUGACCAAACUCCACUCCAAGCAGUCCCGAGGGCUGCUCUUCCCUUGCCCACGGAUGCCUCCGCUCAUUCCCUGGAUCUGCCAGGAUUGCACUGAAACUUUGCACCAGAGCAGAGCACUGGUACUUGCAUAAAGUGGAUUUUGUUGUGUUUCAGCCUUAAUAUCAGCAGCUCCCUUUCUCCACACAGAGUGGGAAGGACCCUCAGGAAUAACCAGGGUCUGCAGAGUGCCUGAAGAGCCUGCCUUGUCCUCAGUCACCAGAGAAGAAUGUGCCAGGGGUCAAUGGAAGCAAAACAGUCCUCUGGAGCUCCAGGUACACAGCAGCUUCACACCCUGAAGCCCAUGGCCAUCACAGCACUCUCCUGUGCCAGACAACCAUCUUGUUUAGUGCCACAGAAACAAAACCAGCAGAAUGCAAGAUAUGGGAACGUGAGAGCUUUCUACAUGCAAGGUGGCUUUCUUCCUGCCCAGCCCACCUCUUCUUUCCCUGUGCCAAGGAGGAAAGAGCUUGUUCCUGCCCUCUGGAGAUGUCGGACCCUGAGCACCAUCUCAAAGGCUGGAGUCUAAUGGAACAAAAUCAUUCCUGAAGUGUUCCUGUCCUGUCUGCAAGCCUCUGCUCCCACCCAGGUCUGCCUGGGGCAUAUUUAAACUAAUGUGAAGAGCGCAUGGCUGCCAGCAGGUUCCUGAUGGGUCAAAGACAGGGAAUGACCAGCAGGUUUCAUCAUUUGAGCCUCCCUUUCUUCUGAAAAUGAGGCACAGGUUGGUCCCUGCAACCUCUGUGGGUCAGAAGCCUUCUCCCUGCCUGCCACAGAGAAGGAGGGACAUCCCUUCCUGCACAGCAACCACCCUGGGGAUUCAGCCUGGAGGAUGCUCAGCACCUAUUUCUGCCAGCCCAGUCCAUGGAGGUGACCUUGCUCCAGACUUUGACCCUCUGAACAUCUCUGAGGCAUCAAACCUUUGUUUCACCCUCUCGUGAGCAGCCUUCAUCAUGUGGCCCCUUGCAGGCUGCCCAAGCAGCCCUGGAUGGAUGCAAAACCACAGCUUGCACUGACGGGACCAAAACCUUGGCAUUUUUCUGACUCCAGCUUUAUGUGAAGCCCCAUUCUGCUGCUGGAUCUUGUGGCUCUGAGCUAUGGGUGGUGGGAGCUGCUGUAGAGUCUUGGAUCUUGUGGACCUGGGAUUUUUAAUGGAGUGAUCCAGUAAAAAUGGGACAAACCUCAGCCUUUUAUAACUGCUGGACUGUAGCUUUAUGCUUCAGCUCUGCCCAGUGAUGCUGUUGCAGGUCCCAUGCAGUUACUGUAUUCUUCAUUGCAAUUUGCCCCACCCUUGGACCAUUGCAGUGGACCCACCAAAAUGCUGAUGAGCCACAUGUAUGGCCAUGGCUCACUAUGGGGCCAUAUGAGCCAAAAUUAGGGAUCUGGAGAGUGUUGAAAGGCUGGGGUGAGGAAACAUGGGGCCUCACUGCAGCAUGGGUUACCUGCAUCAGGGUGGCUUAAGGCUGGAGGUGGUACCCAUAGGAGGCUGCAGGUCUGAUGCAAGGAAAGCCACCAGCACCAUGGAAUGAGGCCAAGAACAAAGCAUGAGGUGGCCUGGGAGUCCCACAAGCCCUCCUGGAGCCUGGAUGCGGAACCUGUGGAGGGUGGGACUGGGCAUGUUUGCGGGACUGGGUAUGCUCAUGGGUGGGGAGUGGUAAAGAAGAAGAGGAGCUGAACAUGAAAAAUGCAGCAAGAAGAGCUGAGGAUGCAUGAUGGAGAGCCAGAGGAAGUGGUAGAAAGCCUUGGAGUGUGGAGAUCCAGAGGAAGUGAUGGAGAGCCAUGGAGCAUGAUGGAGAGCCACAGGACAUGAUGGAGAACCUCAUAACUGCAAGACCUCAUGUGCCAGAGCUUCUGCACCCUGGCCAUGCAAAGGGUUCUGGGGUGUUCCCAGAGGACAGCCAGCCCCAUGCCCUAUCCCUGUGCUGCCUGAUGCUUUGCACUGCAGAGCUGGGAGGCUGUGUUUGCCUGGGCACUGCUCUCCCUGCUGCAAAACCUGCCCAGCAUGAGCACAGCCCAACCCCGAGGGCAGCAGGGCUGGUGGGUGCCCAUGGUGCCUCUUUCUGCAGCCCGGGCACGGCACCAGCCACCCGCAGCCUUAGCACUGGGUCUGUGUCCUAAGGCCACACGUCACCUCCUUCCUAAAAUGCCUCUACCUCUGCUGGGGACCCCGCAGCAGCCCCUCUGCCAGCGGGUUGGAGCUGGGGCGUGGGACCUUCCUCCAGAAGAAAGGAGAGGAAAUACACGGAGAAGUUUUUAUAUUGGACAGAAAGCAACCAGGGACGCUUCUUGUGCCUCCACCUCUGGCUUUUGCGGGAGGGUGGCAGCGUGGUGAGGAUGGGUGCAGGGCUGGGGGCUGCUGCAGGGCUGGGGGCUGCUUCCCCCGAGUGCCAGCGGGGCGCAGCGCGGGUGGUGGGAAUGCCGUACUCACCAUAUGGAGCCUCCAUCUUAGCGCUUAUCUGGGUGCUUACAUUGACCAUGUCUCGCCGGCCACUGCUACGGGGACUUGGGGAGG